rnacentral:rRNA from 1 species
AGUGAACGCUGGCGGUAGGCCUAACGCAUGCAAGUCGAACGGCAGCACAGUAAGAGCUUGCUCUUACGGGUGGCGAGUGGCGGACGGGUGAGGAAUACAUCGGAAUCUACUUUUUCGUGGGGGAUAACGUAGGGAAACUUACGCUAAUACCGCAUACGACCUACGGGUGAAAGCAGGGGAUCUUCGGACCUUGCGCGAUUGAAUGAGCCGAUGUCGGAUUAGCUAGUUGGCGGGGUAAAGGCCCACCAAGGCGACGAUCCGUAGCUGGUCUGAGAGGAUGAUCAGCCACACUGGAACUGAGACACGGUCCAGACUCCUACGGGAGGCAGCAGUGGGGAAUAUUGGACAAUGGGCGCAAGCCUGAUCCAGCCAUACCGCGUGGGUGAAGAAGGCCUUCGGGUUGUAAAGCCCUUUUGUUGGGAAAGAAAAACAGCAGGUUAAUACCCCGCUGUUCUGACGGUACCCAAAGAAUAAGCACCGGCUAACUUCGUG